rnacentral:rRNA from 1 species
GAUGAACGCUAGCGGCAGGCUUAAUACAUGCAAGUCGAGGGGCAGCAGGGGUAGCAAUACUCGCUGGCGACCGGCAAACGGGUGCGGAACACGUACGCAACCUUCCCAAAACUGGUGAAUAGCCCUCCGAAAGGAGGAUUAAUACACCGUAACAUAAUGAAGUGGCAUCACUUUAUUAUUAUAGCUCCGGCGGUUUUGGAUGGGCGUGCGCCUGAUUAGGUAGUUGGCGGGGUAACGGCCCACCAAGCCUGCGAUCAGUAACUGGUGUGAGAGCACGACCAGUCACACGGGCACUGAGACACGGGCCCGACUCCUACGGGAGGCAGCAGUAAGGAAUAUUGGUCAAUGGACGCAAGUCUGAACCAGCCAUGCCGCGUGAAGGA